rnacentral:rRNA from 1 species
UACGUAGGGUGCGAGCGUUAAUCGGAAUUACUGGGCGUACAGUGUGCGCAGGCGGCCGCGCAAGUCGAGUGUGAAAGCCCCGGGCUUAACUUGGGAAUUGCGCUCGAAACUACGUGGCUGGAGUGUGGCAGAGGAAGGUGGAAUUCCAGGUGUAGCGGUGAAAUGCGUAGAGAUCUGGAGGAACACCGAUGGCGAAGGCAGCCUUCUGGGCCAACACUGACGCUCAUGCACGAAAGCGUGGGGAGCAAACAGG